rnacentral:piRNA from 1 species
CGGGAUUGGUCGACGACGCAG